UGCACCUACAGCUGUGAAUUUCCCUGUUCUCAUCUGACCUGAGACUUGUGCAGAAAGACUUGAAGUGGGGAAGGUUCACCACCUCUAGUGCUUCACAGGUUUGGCUCCUACUUGCCUCUGCUCUUCUGGAAGUCCAAUGACACCUAUGUUAGGAGGGUCACAGAUCUGCACAAUCUCCCUUGCUGGCUUUGUGCGUCGAAACACCACUGUGUUCUGACACUGCACUACCUCUGGGAGAUCAUUUGCCCACUGGGAAAAGUCAUUUUUCACUUCCUAUAAGCAGGACCAGGAAGACUGAAGCUGGCUUCCUGUCUCCCCACCCAUCAUGCAGGAAGAUAAAACAGCCUUUCAGCCACCAAGUUGUAGAUGCUGCCAUGACGCCAUCCUGACUUCCCUGGGCAGACGGCCUCACCCGUGUGUCCUGGAGCCUCCCCUCCCCAGAGCCCUGCCCCACGAGGGACAGACAGACACAAGCUGGG